AUCAAAUGCAGCAAGCAUCACAAUUCUUGAUGACCCGAUUGAAAGAUGAUUACCACUUAUUUGAUACUAAUCAGUUUCUUUACAAUAUGUACUGAAAGUACGGACGAUUGUCAUGAUCAGUAUUGGCCAGGCUGUAAUGACAAUUGCAGAGCUACAGAAGACAAGAGUUGUGAACCGUGCAAAGUCGGUACAUUUGGUGUAAAUUGUUCAGAGUCAUGUUCAGCUGGCUAUUACGGAGAGAGAUGUUAUAAAGUGUGUAACUGUACAGAAGGAGAGGUUUGUGAUAGACGGUACGGCUGUGUGGAGAACAGAACGGACGACAUCGCGGGGAUAACUACGUACAAAUACGUACAAGUAACAUCAAAGGAUUCUCUCAGUACAAGUGCACCGAGGUCUAAAUAUUCCCAAACGUCAAACUCUCCUGAAGGUGAAUUUAAAUGCUAUUUACAUUCGCCACUUUUCUCAGUAAUACGUAACGUUUCAUGAUAUUUGAAGUACAAUUCACUUGUUUCUACAAAAAAAAAUUGGUUUGUACAUUACGAGGUUUAGGGCUUAGAGUCAGCAUAAUUUAAUUCAGAUUCUCUAUUUCCUUAAGCUAUACAACUCAUCGGUUAUAAAUACAAAAUAUUUACAAAUAUAUACAAAUAAGAAGUGGGCGGCGAGUAGACACACAGAUCCAUACAAUGUACAUGUACAUCCCAUAAUCCCUGGUUGUGGCAAGUAAAAAUGUAAAAUCAGCUCCUAUAUAGGGCAGAAUGUUAUAUAAAAAAAAAAAAAACACGCGUGCGCCAUGUUAAUAUAAACCGAACUAAUUCGAAGAUAUCUUUAAUCAUUUGAAAAUAACAUCAAUCGCGUUCAAUAAUUGAAUUGAUACGGGUAUCAAAUCAAAUCAAUUACUGUGGAAUUAUUGCUCGCAAAAUUUAAUUUGGAGCUUGAUAUAAAUCAUUUGACGAUCUCGUUAGUUUAAUUGAGGAUAUAUUUAAUUACUUUCAACGAUUUUAUGUAUGGAAUUAAUGUGCGCCAUGAUUCCUUUAAAGAGAGCAUCAA